UGAUUUAUCAGGGUGACUGCGUACCUUUUGUAUAAUGGGUCAGCGACUUAUAUUCUGUAGCAAGGUUAACCGAAUAGGGGAGCCGCAGGGAAACCGAGUCUUAACUGGGCGUUAAGUUGCAGGGUAUAGACCCGAAACCCGGUGAUCUAGCCAUGGGCAGGUUGAAGGUUGGGUAACACUAACUGGAGGACCGAACCGACUAAUGUUGAAAAAUUAGCGGAUGACUUGUGGCUGGGGGUGAAAGGCCAAUCAAACCGGGAGAUAGCUGGUUCUCCCCGAAAGCUAUUUAGGUAGCGCCUCGUGAACUCAUCUUCGGGGGUAGAGCACUGUUUCGGCUAGGGGGUCAUCCCGACUUACCAACCCGAUGCAAACUACGAAUACCGAAGAAUGUUAUCACGGGAGACACACGGCGGGUGCUAACGUUCGUCGUGAAGAGGGAAACAACCCAGACCGCCAGCUAAGGUCCCAAAGUCAUGGUUAAGUGGGAAACGAUGUGGGAAGGCCCAGACAGCCAGGAUGUUGGCUUAGAAGCAGCCAUCAUUUAAAGAAAGCGUAAUAGCUCACUGGUCGAGUCGGCCUGCGCGGAAGAUGUAACGGGGCUAAACCAUGCACCGAAGCUGCGGCAGCGACGCUCAGGCGUUGUUGGGUAGGGGAGCGUUCUGUAAGCCUGUGAAGGUGUGCUGUGAGGCAUGCUGGAGGUAUCAGAAGUGCGAAUGCUGACAUAAGUAACGAUAAUGCGGGUGAAAAACCCGCACGCCGGAAGACCAAGGGUUCCUGUCCAACGUUAAUCGGGGCAGGGUGAGUCGACCCCUAAGGCGAGGCUGAAAAGCGUAGUCGAUGGGAAACAGGUUAAUAUUCCUGUACUUGGUGUUACUGCGAAGGGGGGACGGAGAAGGCUAGGCUAUCCGGGCGACGGUUGUCCCGGUUCAAGCGUGUAGGUG
rnacentral:rRNA from 1 species